rnacentral:rRNA from 1 species
GAGUUUGAUCGUGGCUCAGAUUGAACGCUGGCGGCAGGCCUAACACAUGCAAGUCGAGCGGUAGAGAGAAGCUUGCUUCUCUUGAGAGCGGCGGACGGGUGAGUAAUGCCUAGGAAUCUGCCUGGUAGUGGGGGAUAACGCUCGGAAACGGACGCUAAUACCGCAUACGUCCUACGGGAGAAAGCAGGGGACCUUCGGGCCUUGCGCUAUCAGAUGAGCCUAGGUCGGAUUAGCUAGUUGGUGAGGUAAUGGCUCACCAAGGCGACGAUCCGUAACUGGUCUGAGAGGAUGAUCAGUCACACUGGAACUGAGACACGGUCCAGACUCCUACGGGAGGCAGCAGUGGGGAAUAUUGGACAAAUGGGCGAAAGCCUGAUCCAGCCAUGCCGCGUGUGUGAAGAAGGUCUUCGGAUUGUAAAGCACUUUAAGUUGGGAGGAAGGGCAGUAAAUUAAUACUUUGUCUGUUUUGACGUUACCGACAGAAUAAGCACCGGCUAACUCUGUGCCAGCAC